GACGAGGGAUCCAAGCGUUGUUCGGAAUUAUUGGGCGUAAAGCGGGUGUAGGUGGCUAUGUAAGUCAGGUGUGAAAGCCCAGGGCUCAACCCUGGAAGUGCAUUUGAUACUGCGUAGCUUGAGUGUGGGAGAGGAUAGUAGAAUUCCUGGUGUAGUGGUGAAAUACGUAGAUAUCAGGAGGAAUACCGGAGGCGAAGGCGGCUAUCUGGCCUAACACUGA
rnacentral:rRNA from 1 species